CACGUAGGGUGCGAGCGUUGUCCGGAAUUAUUGGGCGUAAAGAGCUCGUAGGCGGUGUGUCGCGUCGGCCGUGAAAACCUGCAGCUUAACUGUGGGCUUGCGGUCGAUACGGGCAUCACUGGAGUUCGGCAGGGGAGACUGGAAUUCCUGGUGUAGCGGUGAAAUGCGCAGAUAUCGGGAGGAACACCAGUGGCGAAGGCGGUUGCCUGGAGCUUUGCUGACGCUGAUGCGCGAAAGCGUGGGGAGCGAUCCGG
rnacentral:rRNA from 1 species